rnacentral:rRNA from 1 species
AUUGAACGCUGGCGGCAGGCCUAACACAUGCAAGUCGAACGAGUGGCGGACGGGUGAGUAAUGCUUGGGAAUCUGCCUGAUGGAGGGGGAUAACUACGGGAAACUGUAGCUAAUACCGCAUACCAUCAGAUGGGCCCAGGUGGGAUUAGGUUGUUGGUGGGGUAAAGGCUCACCAAGUCGACGAUCUCUAGCUGGUCUGAGAGGAUGACCAGCCACACUGGAACUGAGACACGGUCCAGACUCCUACGGGAGGCAGCAGUGGGGAAUAUUGCACAAUGGGCGCAACCCUGAUGCAGCCAUGCCGCGUGUAUGAAGAAGGCCUUCGGGUUGUAAAGUUCUUUCGGCUGGGAGGCGUUACCCACAGAAGAAGCACCGGCUAACUCCGUGCCAGCAGCCGCGGUAAUUC